rnacentral:rRNA from 1 species
AUACGGAGGAUGCGAGCGUUAUCCGGAUUUAUUGGGUUUAAAGGGUGCGCAGGCGGCCAUUUAAGUCAGCGGUUAAAUCGUGGGGCUCAACCCCAUUCUGCCGUUGAUACUGGGUGGCUUGAUUGCGGUCGAGGUUGGCGGAAUUCGUUGUGUAGCGGUUAAAUGCAUAGAUAUGACGAAGAACACCGAUUGCGUAGGCAGCUGACCAGACCGCAAAUGACGCUCAUGCACGAAAGUGCGGGGAUCGAACAGGAUUAGAUACCCUGGUAGUCCGCACAGUAAACGAUGAAUACUUGUUUUCGGCGAUAUAAUGUCGGAGGCAAAGCGAAAGCGAUAAGUAUUCCACCUGGAGAGUACGCCGGCAACGGUGAAACUCAAAUGAAUUGGCGGGG